rnacentral:rRNA from 1 species
GACGAACGCUGGCGGCGUGCUUAACACAUGCAAGUCGAGGGCACUAUUGGGGGCAACCUGGUAGUGACCGGCGAACGGGUGCGUAACACGUGAGCGACCUUGCCUCGUGGGUGGGGGAUAGCCGGCCCAACGGCCGGGUAAUACCGCAUAUGGUAGUUUCUUCGCAUGAGGAGACUAGCAAAGCCUUGGAGCAAUCCAAUGG